rnacentral:rRNA from 1 species
UACGUAGGCAGCAAGCGUUGUUCGGAAUUACUGGGCGUAAAGAGUGUGUAGGCGGUGCUCUAAGUCUGUUGUGAAAUCUCCCGGCUUGACCGGGAGGGUGCGGCGGAAACUGGAGUGCUUGAGGGUGGGAGAGGUAAGCGGAAUUCCUGGUGUAGCGGUGAAAUGCGUAGAUAUCAGGAGGAACACCUGUGGUGUAGACAGCUUACUGGACCACUUCUGACGCUGAGACACGAAAGCGUGGGUAGCAAACAGG